rnacentral:lncRNA from 1 species
GUUUGAAGCACUUUUUGUGGCCAUUUCUCUCUAGCUCACGUAAGUUUGGUGCCUUGGUGUGUGGGAGUCCGAAUUUUGCUGCAUGGAAAGGGAGGAAAGCAUGGUUUUAUGGUGUGUUUAAGGCAUAUGUUUGUUGUCUUGAAGUAUGGAGCACAUGUAUAAGAAGUCAACACACCUUGCAUGUUCAUUUAAGGAAGAAAAAUCAAAAUUGAAGUUGGGCCUUGGUGGACUAGUAGCUCACGGCCCAAGGGGGUUUGUCAAGCUAUUUGCACCUUUUAAUUUCAAUUGGUAGAUGAAUAUUGGUCACAUAAUUGAUAGAUGAAAAAGCAUGUUUAAUUAUCUCUUUGUUUUGCAUUAAUUUGCAUAGUAGGAUUAGUUGCAUUUGAUUCCUCUAAUUUAGUGUUGCAUUUUAAUAGUCUUAAUUAUGUUUAGAUAAUUGUUUGUUGAAAUGUUGGGUUUAGCACUUUAUUUUACCUUGAUGUUUUCUAACUUACACAGUUGAGUUUAAUGUCCAUUCAUUUUAAUUUAGUUAUUCAUAUUCACAAAAACACUUUUCAAACCCGCCCCCCUUUUUCGUGUUAGACUUGACUCUGAACCGCAGUUGGUCCUUGAGAGACGACCUAGGGGUCAUUCCCUAGCAUUAUACUGCAUUUCUAAAUUGCAAUCAAAUUUGUAUGGGUCGCGACACCCAUCAAUUACUCACCAGUUCAUGACAUUACUGUACGUCCCCAUAUCAAUAAUAUUUUACCCUUUAAUAUUUUACCCUUUUUGAACCUUAGCCUUAAACAAGAUGUGAACCCUUGUCUUGAGAUUCUUUACCUUGAGUUGGGAUGAGCUAAACUGUAUGUGAUGAAAAGGUUCAAGUUUGGGGUUGCAUGAGGGAAAUUGAAAGGCAAGUGAAAAACAUUGAGCUCAAAUGUUGUGAAAAGAAAAAUUCAUUAGAAAAAGAAAAGAAAAGAAGAAAAGCAUGAAGAUGGGCUCAAUGCAAAAGAAAAAGAAAAAGGGAAAAAGUUGGGAACUAGUGAGAGUGGUGAGGAAGAGAGUUGUGCUUAAAUAUUGAAUACUUUGAUAGCUCUCUUAACUCAAGGAUUUUGUAUUCCAGAAAAACCAAUUUUUCUUGUUAGCCCAACCUUAUUACAAGCCUUGGAAAAGUCCUUUUGAU